GACACGGUCCAGACUCCUACGGGAGGCAGCAGUGAGGAAUAUUGGUCAAUGGGCGGAAGCCUGAACCAGCCAAGUAGCGUGCAGGAUGACGGCCCUAUGGGUUGUAAACUGCUUUUAUGCGGGGAUAAAGGAGCCCACGUGUGGGCUUUUGCAGGUACCGCAUGAAUAAGGACCGGCUAAUUCCGUGCCAGCAGCCGCGGUAAUACGGAAGGUCCGGGCGUUAUCCGGAUUUAUUGGGUUUAAAGGGAGCGUAGGCCGCCCCUUAAGCGUGUUGUGAAAUGCGGGUGCUCAACAUCCGACUUGCAGCGCGAACUGGGGGGCUUGAGUGCGCCGAAAGUAGGCGGAAUUCGUGGUGUAGCGGUGAAAUGCUUAGAUAUCACGAAGAACUCCGAUUGCGAAGGCAGCUUACUGUAGCGCAACUGACGCUGAUGCUCGAAAGCGUGGGUAUCGAACAGGAUUAGAUACCCUGGUAGUCCACGCGGUAAACGAUGGAUGCUCGUUGUCGGCCUUUGUGGUCGGUGACCAAGCGAAAGCGUUAAGCAUCCCACCUGGGGAGUACGCCGGCAACGGUGAAACUCAAAGGAAUUGACGGGGGCCCGCACAAGCGGAGGAACAUGUGGUUUAAUUCGAUGAUACGCGAGGAACCUUACCCGGGCUUGAACUGCGGCGGAACGAUUCCGAGAGGAUGAGGCCCUUCGGGGCUGCCGCGGAGGUGCUGCAUGGUUGUCGUCAGCUCGUGCCGUGAGGUGUCGGCUUAAGUGCC
rnacentral:rRNA from 1 species